rnacentral:lncRNA from 1 species
GACAAAUCCAUUUGCCCCCCCCCAACUGCUGAUCCAAUUGUGGCCCUCGCCAAAUUAGCAUGGAACAAUCCACCCUCGAAUAUAGCAAACUAGUAUAGUAUCUACAUCUUUUUAUAUCUUUUGUGCAUAGCUUGACCUCCCGCAUGAGCGUGUGUUUUAAUGGUCUUGCACAAAAAUAAGUUGCCAAAGUAAACAAAAGUGCAGCUUCGCUUUCCUAGCGGUGGGUCCAUCACCUCCAAGACUGGAUGAGCUCAGAUGAAAUGCGACUGAAUGCGGGAUGUGGCUCCCCAACACGGUGCUGCACUUUGCUCCCGGCUAAGGGUCAUCAUCCCAUCCAAUUCCAUCCCAAACCCAUCCCAUGCUGCGCGAAAAACUCUGCGCACAACCUGAGACGCAAAAAAGAGAAAUCCUUGAUGAGGAAGCCAUCCAGUUUAAAUGCCAUGAGUAAGAAGUGAUAAAAAUGGCCAUUUUCUGCAAGUUUAAGUGUUCCUCAAAAAAGUUUAAUUUACAGACAGUUUGUUUCAUAAAACCAAUAUUUUACCACAGCUUAUAAGUUAGUAAGCACUACUAAAUGCCUUUUAAGUUUAAGUGUUUAGUAAUAACUAGGCAAACUGCUUUAAUUCCAGAAAUCUUAAAGGAAUUAUAAUCGGACUCGUGACUAGAUUGGUUUUGCUUUUUAUCAUUGUUAAGUCAGCUAAUCAUACUAAUCCGAUAGAUUUAUUCAAUAGCUGCUAUGUGGUCAUCUGUCAAAGCCUAUAAACUGAUGAUUGGGAUUAAACAUACUUAGUGUACAUUAGAUGAAUGAAACUAAGUGCUACUGCGUUUAAAGUAUUAUAUACUAUCAUUUUGAAUUAUUCAAAUCGCGUAACUUUGUAAUUCAAAUCCCCCAGUUUUUGCUAUUUGAAGGGAAAGUCUCAUGUUACCGAUGGCUUUCCCUGAUAGAUGCCCCAAUGUUCAUGGUCGUUUAUCAUUCAGCCGUCAGCAAAGUCAAAUAUUAUAGAAGCAUAUUUAAUGACAUAUUUAAGUUACCAUCAGGCCGUAAUUAUGUCAGUGCCGCGAUGACAAAUCUCGAAAGAUCGCUGCGAAAAAGGGGCGACUGCAUUCGAAGCGUCACAUGUGGCCAAUGGGCUAAUUAAAGACUCCAGACUUUGUUUACUCAUCCCCAAAGAACAGACUUGAAGAAAGAGGCUCAAUUUUCAUAGAAGAAACCAACGAGGGGGAAACUACACGGAUCUACUUCGAUUGCACAAACCAGCAGGCGAAACGCUUCCUAGUUUGACAACCGUGCGGCGAACGGGAACGGGAAUAUUGAAACAUAUUGACAAUUUCACAAUCGGCCACAAAAUGAAAACUGAGGCAGAUGUUGCAACAUGGCUGUGACAACCGCAUGGACGAUGUUUUCCCGCUGUUGUGCUCCGACUUUUGGCUUGGCACUUGCAGACCUUGACAACAGCAAUAUGUCAAAUGUCAAUUUGAUUCACAACCAACUACGUAGCAUGCCACAAGACAAGACUAAAAAAAAACCGAAUGCAUGCCACACAUAUUUCACGUACUGAGCGCGAAAGAAAUUGCGUCAAGUGGACUUUUUCUUGUCAUAAAGUGAAAGUCGAAAUCAUGCGUAAUUACCGAUCCAUAAAAUGCGGAAUAGUCUACUCGCGCCAUAAGAUAAAACCGAUCGAUCAAGUCUAGUGUCCCAACUUUGAGGAGUGCGAAGACAGGCGACAAAAAACGCAGACAAAACCUACGCAGCCACUCGAUGCGUGCAACUAUCCAAACUAUCCAGCUAUACAACUAUCUAUGUAUCUAUGUAUCUAUCCACAUGUCUUCGCUCCUCGGCUGUCAAUACCGUUUAACGCUUGUCCAUGAACAAAUUGGUAAAUCUUUCCAAUGACAAGCUACACAAAACUUUAAAAUUUGUAAAAAGAAAACAUUGAUCGAACGUUUAAUGCUCUUCAGGCCAGGAAAUAAUCAAAAGAAGUCAAAAGAGGUUUUAAAGAAACUUCAUUUGAACCUAAAAUCAAAAAAAUUAGAAAAUUUGUAUAACGUAAAAGUAAUUUUAUUUACUUUUCUUCCGUAGAUAUGGGGAAUAACUAAUGAUAAAAAGAUUAAUAGCUCGAAUGUUUGUUUUAUUUAACCAAUAAUAAAUUUAUUGAUGGUCACAAGAUCGG